rnacentral:misc_RNA from 1 species
UCCCCGUUACCGGGGCAGUCCAAGUAGAAAAAUACAACUACUUGCAAGGGUUGCGCUCGUUGAUGGACUUAACCAAACAUCUCACGACACGAGCUGACGACGGCCAUGCAACAUCUGUCACUUGGUUCAAUAAAGCACUCACUACUUUCAUAGUAAUUCCAAGGAUGUCAAACCCUGGUAAGGUUCAUCGGUUAUCAUCGAAUUAAAGAACAUAAUCCACCGCUUGUGCGGCUCCCCGUCAAUUCCUUUAUGUUUUAGUCUUGCGACCGUACUCCACAGGCGGGAUACUUAACGCGUUAGCUUCGCUACUGGAGGGGUCGAUACCUCCAACAGCUAGUAUCCAUCGUUUACGGCGUGGACUAC